rnacentral:tRNA from 1 species
UUAACAAAAACCAAAAAGAGGUUUGUUUCUGUUAAAAACAAAAUUGUGUCUACACUUGUUAAG